rnacentral:rRNA from 1 species
CGGCCUACCAAGGCGACGAUGCGUAGCCGACCUGAGAGGGUGAUCGGCCACACUGGGACUGAGACACGGCCCAGACUCCUACGGGAGGCAGCAGUAGGGAAUCUUCCGCAAUGGACGAAAGUCUGACGGAGCAACGCCGCGUGAGUGAAGAAGGCCUUCGGGUCGUAAAACUCUGUUAUCAGGGAAGAACAAGCAUCGUUUAACUGACGGUGCCAUGACGGUACCUGACCAGAAAGCCACGGCUAACUACGUGCCAGCAGCCGCGGUAAUACGUAGGUGGCAAGCGUUGUCCGGAAUUAUUGGGCGUAAAGCGCGCGCAGGCGGCUUCUUAAGUCUGAUGUGAAAGCCCACGGCUCAACCGUGGAGGGUCAUUGGAAACUGGGAGGCUUGAGUGCAGAAGAGGAGAGCGGAAUUCCACGUGUAGCGGUGAAAUGCGUAGAGAUGUGGAGGAACACCAGUGGCGAAGGCGGCUCUCUGGUCUGUAACUGACGCUGAGGCGCGAAAGCGUGGGUAGCGAACAGGAUUAGAUACCCUGGUAGUCCACGCCGUAAACGAUGAGUGCUAAGUGUUAGAGGGUUUCCGCCCUUUAGUGCUGCAGCAAACGCAUAAGCACUCCGC